UUCCGGUUGAUCCUGCCGGAGGCUACUGCUAUCGGGGUUCGAUUAAGCCAUGCAAGUUAAAUGUUCUUCGUGAACAUAGCGAACUGCUCAGUAACACGUGGAUAACCUACCCUUAGGACCGGAAUAACCCCGGGAAACUGGGGAUAAUACCGGAUAAGCCAUAGGCGCUGGAAUGCCCUAUGGUUCAAAGCUCCGGCGCCUAAGGAUGGAUCUGCGGUCUAUCAGGUUGUAGUGGGUGUAACGUACCUACUAGCCGACGACGGAUACGGGUUGUGAGAGCAAGAGCCCGGAGAUGGAUUCUGAGACACGAAUCCAGGCCCUACGGGGUGCAGCAGGCGCGAACACUUUACAAUGCGGGAAACCGCGAUAAGGGAACCCCGAGUGCCAGCAUCAAAUGUUGGCUGUCCGGAUGAUUAAAAAUCAUUUGUUAGCAAGGGCCGGGCAAGACCGGUGCCAGCCGCCGCGGUAACACCGGCGGCCCGAGUGGUAGCCGUUUUUAUUGGGUCUAAAGGGUCCGUAGCCGGCCUGAUCAGUCCUUUGGGAAAUCUGGCAGCUUAACUGUCAGGCUUCUAAGGGAUACUGUCAGGCUUGGGACCGGAAGAGGUAAGGGGUACUCCAGGGGUAGGAGUGAAAUCUUGUAAUCCCUGGGGGACCAUCUGUGGCGAAGGCGCCUUACCAGAACGGGUCCGACGGUGAGGGACGAAAGCUAGGGGAGCAAACCGGAUUAGAUACCCGGGUAGUCCUAGCUGUAAACGAUGCUCGCUAGGUGUCAGACACGGUGCGACCGUGUUUGGUGCCGCAGGGAAGCCGUUAAGCGAGCCACCUGGGAAGUACGGUCGCAAGGCUGAAACUUAAAGGAAUUGGCGGGGGAGCACUACAACGGGUGGAGCCUGCGGUUUAAUUGGAGUCAACGCCGGA
rnacentral:rRNA from 1 species